GAUGAACGCUGGCGGCGUGCCUAAUACAUGCAAGUCGAGCGAACGGACGAGAAGCUUGCUUCUCUGAUGUUAGCGGCGGACGGGUGAGUAACACGUGGAUAACCUACCUAUAAGACUGGGAUAACUUCGGGAAACCGGAGCUAAUACCGGAUAAUAUUUUGAACCGCAUGGUUCAAAAGUGAAAGACGGUCUUGCUGUCACUUAUAGAUGGAUCCGCGCUGCAUUAGCUAGUUGGUAAGGUAACGGCUUACCAAGGCAACGAUGCAUAGCCGACCUGAGAGGGUGAUCGGCCACACUGGAACUGAGACACGGUCCAGACUCCUACGGGAGGCAGCAGUAGGGAAUCUUCCGCAAUGGGCGAAAGCCUGACGGAGCAACGCCGCGUGAGUGAUGAAGGUCUUCGGAUCGUAAAACUCUGUUAUUAGGGAAGAACAUAUGUGUAAGUAACUGUGCACAUCUUGACGGUACCUAAUCAGAAAGCCACGGCUAACUACGUGCCAGCAGCCGCGGUAAUACGCAGGUGGCAAGCGUUAUCCGGAAUUAUUGGGCGUAAAGCGCGCGUAGGCGGUUUUUUAAGUCUGAUGUGAAAGCCCACGGCUCAAUCGUGGAGGGUCAUUGGAAACUGGAAAACUUGAGUGCAGAAGAGGAAAGUGGAAUUCCAUGUGUAGCGGUGAAAUGCGCAGAGAUAUGGAGGAACACCAGUGGCGAAGGCGACUUUCUGGUCUGUAACUGACGCUGAUGUGCGAAAGCGUGGGGAUCAAACAGGAUUAGAUACCCUGGUAGUCCACGCCGUAAACGAUGAGUGCUAAGUGUUAGGGGGUUUCCGCCCCUUAGUGCUGCAGCUAACGCAUUAAGCACUCCGCCUGGGGAGUACGACCGCAAGGUUGAAACUCAAAGGAAUUGACGGGGACCCGCACAAGCGGUGGAGCAUGUGGUUUAAUUCGAAGCAACGCGAAGAACCUUACCAAAUCUUGACAUCCUUUGACAACUCUAGAGAUAGAGCCUUCCCCUUCGGGGGACAAAGUGACAGGUGGUGCAUGGUUGUCGUCAGCUCGUGUCGUGAGAUGUUGGGUUAAGUCCCGCAACGAGCGCAACCCUUAAGCUUAGUUGCCAUCAUUAAGUUGGGCACUCUAAGUUGACUGCCGGUGACAAACCGGAGGAAGGUGGGGAUGACGUCAAAUCAUCAUGCCCCUUAUGAUUUGGGCUACACACGUGCUACAAUGGACAAUACAAAGGGCAGCGAAACCGCGAGGUCAAGCAAAUCCCAUAAAGUUGUUCUCAGUUCGGAUUGUAGUCUGCAACUCGACUACAUGAAGCUGGAAUCGCUAGUAAUCGUAGAUCAGCAUGCUACGGUGAAUACGUUCCCGGGUAU
rnacentral:rRNA from 1 species